GACGAACGCUGGCGGCGUGCUUAACACAUGCAAGUCGAACGGAAAGGCCCUGCUUUUGUGGGGUGCUCGAGUGGCGAACGGGUGAGUAACACGUGAGUAACCUGCCAUUGACUUUGGGAUAACUUCAGGAAACUGGGGCUAAUACCGGAUAGGAGCUCCUGCUGCAUGGCGGGGGUUGGAAAGUUUCGGCGGUUGGGGAUGGACUCGCGGCUUAUCAGCUUGUUGGUGGGGUAGUGGCUUACCAAGGCUUUGACGGGUAGCCGGCCUGAGAGGGUGACCGGCCACAUUGGGACUGAGAUACGGCCCAGACUCCUACGGGAGGCAGCAGUGGGGAAUAUUGCACAAUGGGCGGAAGCCUGAUGCAGCAACGCCGCGUGCGGGAUGACGGCCUUCGGGUUGUAAACCGCUUUCGCCUGUGACGAAGCGUGAGUGACGGUAAUGGGUAAAGAAGCACCGGCUAACUACGUG
rnacentral:rRNA from 1 species